rnacentral:rRNA from 1 species
ACUCGAGUGGCGAACGGGUGAGUAACACGUGGGUGAUCUGCCCUGCGCUUCGGGAUAAGCUUGGGAAACUGGGUCUAAUACCGGAUAGGAGCCAUCUUUAGUGUGGUGGUUGGAAAGUUUUUCGGUGUAGGAUGAGCUCGCGGCCUAUCAGCUUGUUGGUGGGGUAAUGGCCUACCAAGGCGGCGACGGGUAGCCGGCCUGAGAGGGUGUACGGCCACAUUGGGACUGAGAUACGGCCCAG